UUUCCGUAGGUGAACCUGCGGAAGGAUCAUUAUUGCAUAACCGAGGUGCGAGGGCUGUCGCUGACCCGAAAGGUCGUGCACGCCCGAGUGCCCCUACACACAUCCAUCUCACCUCUCCGUACACCACUGCGUGGGCCUCCCUAAGGCAUGUUCGGUGAGGGGCUUAAGUUUUCACACAAACUAAAAAUGCCGAGUAGGAAGCACUUUGUGUUCUUGCGAACACGCAAUGCAUACAACUUGCAACAACGGAGUCCUUGGCUCUCGCACGGAUGAAGAACG
rnacentral:misc_RNA from 1 species